rnacentral:rRNA from 1 species
UACAGAGGUCCCGAGCGUUGUUCGGAUUCACUGGGCGUAAAGGGUGCGUGGGUGGUUGGGUAAGUUUGAUGUGAAAGCUCAGGGCUUAACCCUGAAAUGGCAUUGAAUACUACUUAACUGGAGGUUUGGAGGGGGGACUGGAAUUCUUGGUGUAGCAGUGAAAUGCGUAGAUAUCAAGAGGAACACCAGUGGCGAAGGCGAGUCCCUGGACAACACCUGACACUGAGGCACGAAAGCUAGGGGAGCAAACAGG